rnacentral:rRNA from 1 species
CACGUAGGGCGCAAGCGUUGUCCGGAAUUAUUGGGCGUAAAGAGCUCGUAGGCGGUCUGUUGCGUCCGCUGUGAAAACUCGGGGCGUUAACCCCGACGCUGCAGUGGAUACGGGCAUCACUUGAGUUCGGCAGGGGAGACUGGAAUUCCUGGUGUAGAGGUGAAAUUCGUAGAUAUCGGGAGGAACACCAGUGGCGAAGGCGGCUCUCUGGACAGAUACUGACGCUGAGGCGCGAAAGCGUGGGAAGCAAACAGG